rnacentral:rRNA from 1 species
AUUGAACGCUGGCGGCAGGCCUAACACAUGCAAGUCGAACGAGUGGCGGACGGGUGAGUAAUGUCUGGGAAACUGCCCGAUGGAGGGGGAUAACUACUGGAAACGGUAGCUAAUACCGCAUACCAUCGGAUGUGCCCAUAUGGGAUUAGCGAGUAGGUGGGGUAACGGCUCACCUAGGCGACGAUCCCUAUCUGGUCUGAGAGGAUGAAAAGCCUCACUGUAACUGAGACACGUGCCAGACGCCUACGGUGGGCAGCAGUGGGGAAUAUUGCACAAUGGGCGCAAGCCUGAUGCAGCCAUGCCGCGUGUAUGAAGAAGGCCUUCGGGUUGUAAAGUACUUUCAGCGAGGAGGCGUGACGCGCAGAAGAAGCACAGGCUAACUCCGUGCCAGCAGCCGCGGUAAUUC